GAUGAACGCUGGCGGCGUGCCUAAUACAUGCAAGUCGAGCGAACAGACGAGGAGCUUGCUCCUCUGACGUUAGCGGCGGACGGGUGAGUAACACGUGGAUAACCUACCUAUAAGACUGGGAUAACUUCGGGAAACCGGAGCUAAUACCGGAUAAUAUAUUGAACCGCAUGGUUCAAUAGUGAAAGACGGUUUUGCUGUCACUUAUAGAUGGAUCCGCGCCGCAUUAGCUAGUUGGUAAGGUAACGGCUUACCAAGGCAACGAUGCGUAGCCGACCUGAGAGGGUGAUCGGCCACACUGGAACUGAGACACGGUCCAGACUCCUACGGGAGGCAGCAGUAGGGAGUCUUCCGCAAUGAGCGAAAGCUUGACGGAGCAACGCCGCGUGAGUGAUGAAGGUCUUCGGAUCGUAAAACUCUGUUAUUAGGGAAGAACAAAUGUGUAAGUAACUAUGCACGUCUUGACGGUACCUAAUCAGAAAGCCACGGCUAACUACGUG
rnacentral:rRNA from 1 species